rnacentral:rRNA from 1 species
CAGCCGCGGUAAUUCCAGCUCCAAUAGCGUAUACUUAAGUUGUUGCAGUUAAAAAGCUCGUAGUUGAAAUUCGAGUCAGUUACUAGUUGGCUUUUCGUCAGUUAGUUAAUUGAUUCUCCGUCUACAAUCCCUUUUGCGCUUUAGGGUUGCAGCUGGGCGAGUAGACNAUUUACCUUGAANAAANUAGAGUGUUCCAGGCAGGUCUUCGCCGGAAUACAUUAGCAUGGAAUAAUGGAAUAGGACUUGGGUCUUUUGUUGGUUUUAGGACUUGAGUAAUGAUUAAUAGGGACAGAUGGGGGCAUUAGUAUUUAAUUGUCAGAGGUGAAAUUCUUGGAUUUAUUAAAGACUAACUUAUGCGAAAGCAUUUGCCAAGGAUGUUUUCAUUAAUCAAGAACGAAAGUUAGGGGAUCAAAGACGAUCAGAUACCGUCGUAGUCUUAACUAUAAACUAUACCGACUCGAGAUCGGAAGGGUAAUAUAUUAGUCCCUUUCGGCAUCGUAAGAGAA